rnacentral:rRNA from 1 species
GGGUUGUGAGGUUAAGCGACUAAGCGUACACGGUGGAUGCCCUGGCAGUCAGAGGCGAUGAAGGACGUGCUAAUCUGCGAAAAGCGUCGGUAAGGUGAUAUGAACCGUUAUAACCGGCGAUGUCCGAAUGGGGAAACCCAGUGUGAUUCGUCACACUAUCGUUAACUGAAUACAUAGGUUAACGAGGCGAACCGGGGGAACUGAAACAUCUAAGUACCCCGAGGAAAAGAAAUCAACCGAGAUUCCCCAGUAGCGGCGAGCGAACGGGGAGCAGCCCAGAGUCUGAAUCAGCUUGUGUGUUAGUGGAACGGUCUGGAAAGUCCGACGGUACAGGGUGAUAGUCCCGUACACCAAAAUGCACAGGUUGUGAACUCGAAGAGUAGGGCGGGACACGUGGUAUCCUGUCUGAAUAUGGGGGACCAUCCUCCAAGGCUAAAUACUCCUGACUGACCGAUAGUGAACCAGUACCGUGAGGGAAAGGCGAAAAGAACCCCGGCGAGGGGAGUGAAAAAGAACCUGAAACCGUGUACGUACAAGCAGUGGGAGCACCUUCGGGUGUGACUGCGUACCUUUUGUAUAAUGGGUCAGCGACUUAUAUUCUGUAGCAAGGUUAACCGUAUAGGGGAGCCGCAGGGAAACCGAGUCUUAACUGGGCGUUAAGUUGCAGGGUAUAGACCCGAAACCCGGUGAUCUAGCCAUGGGCAGGUUGAAGGUUGGGUAACACUAACUGGAGGACCGAACCGACUAAUGUUGAAAAAUUAGCGGAUGACUUGUGGCUGGGGGUGAAAGGCCAAUCAAACCGGGAGAUAGCUGGUUCUCCCCGAAAGCUAUUUAGGUAGCGCCUCGUGAAUUCAUCUUCGGGGUAGAGCACUGUUUCGGCUAGGGGGUCAUCCCGACUUACCAACCCGAUGCAAACUACGAAUACCGAAGAAUGUUAUCACGGGAGACACACGGCGGGUGCUAACGUCCGUCGUGAAGAGGGAAACAACCCAGACCGCCAGCUAAGGUCCCAAAGUCAUGGUUAAGUGGGAAACGAUGUGGGAAGGCACAGACAGCCAGGAUGUUGGCUUAGAAGCAGCCAUCAUUUAAAGAAAGCGUAAUAGCUCACUGGUCGAGUCGGCCUGCGCGGAAGAUGUAACGGGGCUAAACCAUGCACCGAAGCUGCGGCAGCGACACUAUGUGUUGUUGGGUAGGGGAGCGUUCUGUAAGCCUGCGAAGGUGACCUGUGAGGGUUGCUGGAGGUAUCAGAAGUGCGAAUGCUGACAUAAGUAACGAUAAAGCGGGUGAAAAGCCCGCUCGCCGGAAGACCAAGGGUUCCUGUCCAACGUUAAUCGGGGCAGGGUGAGUCGACCCCUAAGGCGAGGCCGAAAGGCGUAGUCGAUGGGAAACAGGUUAAUAUUCCUGUACUUGGUGUUACUGCGAAGGGGGGACGGAGAAGGCUAUGUUAGCCGGGCGACGGUUGUCCCGGUUUAAGCAUGUAGGCUGGUUGUCCAGGCAAAUCCGGAUAAUCAAGGCUGAGGUGUGAUGACGAGGCACUACGGUGCUGAAGUAACAAAUGCCCUGCUUCCAGGAAAAGCCUCUAAGCAUCAGGUAACAUUAAAUCGUACCCCAAACCGACACAGGUGGUCAGGUAGAGAAUACCAAGGCGCUUGAGAGAACUCGGGUGAAGGAACUAGGCAAAAUGGUGCCGUAACUUCGGGAGAAGGCACGCUGGUGUGUAGGUGAAGUCCCUGCGGAUGGAGCUGAGACCAGUCGAAGAUACCAGCUGGCUGCAACUGUUUAUUAAAACACAGCACUGUGCAAACACGAAAGUGGACGUAUACGGUGUGACGCCUGCCCGGUGCCGGAAGGUUAAUUGAUGGGGUUAUCCGUAAGGAGAAGCUCUUGAUCGAAGCCCCGGUAAACGGCGGCCGUAACUAUAACGGUCCUAAGGUAGCGAAAUUCCUUGUCGGGUAAGUUCCGACCUGCACGAAUGGCGUAAUGAUGGCCAGGCUGUCUCCACCCGAGACUCAGUGAAAUUGAACUCGCUGUGAAGAUGCAGUGUACCCGCGGCAAGACGGAAAGACCCCGUGAACCUUUACUAUAGCUUGACACUGAACAUUGAGCCUUGAUGUGUAGGAUAGGUGGGAGGCUUUGAAGCGUGGACGCCAGUCUGCGUGGAGCCAACCUUGAAAUACCACCCUUUAAUGUUUGAUGUUCUAACGUUGGCCCCUUACCGGGGUUGCGGACAGUGUCUGGUGGGUAGUUUGACUGGGGCGGUCUCCUCCCAAAGCGUAACGGAGGAGCACGAAGGUUAGCUAAUCCUGGUCGGACAUCAGGAGGUUAGUGCAAUGGCAUAAGCUAGCUUGACUGCGAGCGUGACGGCGCGAGCAGGUGCGAAAGCAGGUCAUAGUGAUCCGGUGGUUCUGAAUGGAAGGGCCAUCGCUCAACGGAUAAAAGGUACUCCGGGGAUAACAGGCUGAUACCGCCCAAGAGUUCAUAUCGACGGCGGUGUUUGGCACCUCGAUGUCGGCUCAUCACAUCCUGGGGCUGAAGUAGGUCCCAAGGGUAUGGCUGUUCGCCAUUUAAAGUGGUACGCGAGCUGGGUUUAGAACGUCGUGAGACAGUUCGGUCCCUAUCUGCCGUGGGCGCUGGAGAAUUGAGGGGGGCUGCUCCUAGUACGAGAGGACCGGAGUGGACGCAUCACUGGUGUUCGGGUUGUCAUGCCAAUGGCACUGCCCGGUAGCUAAAUGCGGAAGAGAUAAGUGCUGAAAGCAUCUAAGCACGAAACUUGCCCCGAGAUGAGUUCUCCCUGAGACUUUAAGUCUCCUGAAGGAACGUUAAAGACGAUGACGUUGAUAGGCCGGGUGUGUAAGCGCAGCGAUGCGUUGAGCUAACCGGUACUAAUGAACCGUGAGGCUUAACCUUACAACGCCGAAG